AUGCACGCUGGCGGCGUGCCUAAUCCCUGCAAGUCGAGCGCACAGACGAGGAGCUUGCUCCUCUGACGUUAGCGGCGGACGGGUGAGUAACACGUGGAUAACCUACCUAUAAGACUGGGAUAACUUCGGGAAACCGGAGCUAAUACCGGAUAAUAUAUUGAACCGCAUGGUUCAAUAGUGAAAGACGGUUUUGCUGUCACUUAUAGAUGGAUCCGCGCCGCAUUAGCUAGUUGGUAAGGUAACGGCUUACCAAGGCGACGAUGCGUAGCCGACCUGAGAGGGUGAUCGGCCACACUGGAACUGAGACACGGUCCAGACUCCUACGGGAGGCAGCAGUAGGGAAUCUUCCGCAAUGGGCGAAAGCCUGACGGAGCAACGCCGCGUGAGUGAUGAAGGUCUUCGGAUCGUAAAACUCUGUUAUUAGGGAAGAACAAAUGUGUAAGUAACUAUGCACGUCUUGACGGUACCUAAUCAGAAAGCCACGGCUAACUACGUG
rnacentral:rRNA from 1 species